rnacentral:rRNA from 1 species
UACGUAGGGGGCAAGCGUUGUCCGGAUUUAUUGGGCGUAAAAAGCGUGUAGGCGGUUUGGUAGGUCCGUUGUGAAAACUCGAGGCUCAACCUCGAGACGCCGAUGGAAACCAUCAGACUAGAGUCCGGAAGAGGAGAGUGGAAUUCCUGGUGUAGCGGUGAAAUGCGCAGAUAUCAGGAAGAACACCCGUGGCUAAGGCGGCUCUCUAGUACGGUACUGACGCUGAGACGCGAAAGCGUGGGGAGCGAACAGG